rnacentral:rRNA from 1 species
GACAAGAAAUAACAAUACGGGGCUUAAUGUCUUGUAAUUGGAAUGAUGGGAAUUUAAACCUCUUCCAGAGUAUCAAUUGGAGGGCAAGUCUGGUGCCAGCAGCCGCGGUAAUUCCAGCUCCAAUAGCGUAUAUUAAAAUUGUUGUAGUUAAAAAGCUCGUAGUUGAAUUUCUGCGUUAUCCGUUUCUUGGCUCUUGCCCGGAUUCGAUUUCGCUUUAGGGAAUCUCCCUUUUACUUUGAGAAAAUUAGAGUGUUUCAAGCAGACUUUUGUCUUGAAUACUUCAGCAUGGAAUAAUAGAGUAGGACUUUGGUUCUAUUUUGUUGGUUUGUGAACCUUAGUAAUGGUUAAUAGGAACGGUUGGGGGCAUUCGUAUUUAACUGUCAGAGGUGAAAUUCUUAG